rnacentral:lncRNA from 1 species
CCACAUUUUGUUUUUCGGUCGAUGUGUCAUGGCGGAUUCCGUGUGCGUUCGCGAUUGCAUCUUUUUGCGCUUUUUGCGGAUAAAAAAUUGUUUCUUGAAGCGAAGCCCACAUCAAUCUACAACGGCCAAGCAUCUGCUCCAGCAAUGAUUCCGUCCGGAAUUCAUUCAGGGUGCGAGUUCCCCAAAACCAAACGGAAACCCCGAAAUGGAAAACGAAUCCGCUAGACGGCUGUUUGGGAUCUUCCUCAGGAUGUUUCAUUGGCCGCAGAGCUGGGAGUGUUCCGCAGGAAAUAUAUUACACCAGCGGUCAACUUUUGGCCUAAAGAGCCAACAGCCAGGGAGAACAGUCUACGUAUUUAUUUACGGAAGGAGCGGAAUGGAAGUGGCAGAUACUUAUGAUCGGUACGUAAACCAUGUAUGGGUCCUGUGAAUCAUUCUACCGUUUGCCGAGGAAAUCAAAACACACCCUGGAGUGCCUUAUACUUGCAUGUUACCUGGAAGGGUCCAUUGCGGUUCCUUGGAUUCACUGUUUGAAGCGUCCAUUAUGCUCCAUAAUGUGAAUUAUUCUGCAAUAAUUGUAUAAUAAAUGCUGCAAUAGGAAAUAAUUGAUGACUCAAA